AAACAACAAUGUUAUCAGAUAUUUAGAUCUGAACAAUAGAGAACAAUCCCAACUCUUAACACUGGAACUGAAAGGAGUUCAACCUCCAAAUCCAAAAACCAGAUCUCCUAAACGGCUUCGUAGACGUUCACCUGACACUCAGACGAUCAUUGUUGAUGGGGGCUCAUUCAGCGAGGGCAACUUAUCUCUAAGAAUAUCAUUACCAGAAGAGUAUCAUUUCUCAAAGGAAGCUCGCAGUAAAUUUAACGUCGAAACUGAGCCUGAGAGUGCGUUGUCUAUUGACCCGUAUGAUGGGU
rnacentral:misc_RNA from 1 species